UGGGGAAUAUUGCACAAUGGAGGGAACUCUGAUGCAGCGACGCCGCGUGAACGAAGAAGGCUUUCGAGUCGUAAAGUUCUUUUAUAUGGGAAGAUAAUGACGGUACCAUAAGAAAAAGCCCCGGCUAACUACGUGCCAGCAGCCGCGGUAAUACGUAGGGGGCUAGCGUUGUCCGGAAUCACUGGGCGUAAAGGGUUCGCAGGCGGAACUGCAAGUCAGGUGUAAAAGGCAGUAGCUUAACUACUGUAAGCAUUUGAAACUGCAUAUCUUGAGAAGAGUAGAGGUAAGUGGAAUUUUUAGUGUAGCGGUGAAAUGCGUAGAUAUUAAAAAGAAUACCGGUGGCGAAGGCGACUUACUGGGCUCAUUCUGACGCUGAGGAACGAAAGCGUGGGUAGCAAACAGG
rnacentral:rRNA from 1 species